CCAACGGCCCUCUUUAGGGCCACAUUUACGUGAAUACACAUGUCC
rfam:Heterorhabditis bacteriophora unplaced genomic scaffold Scaffold722, whole genome shotgun sequence.